rnacentral:rRNA from 1 species
UACGGGGGGGGGCAAGCGUUGUUCGGAAUUACUGGGCGUAAAGGGCUCGUAGGUGGCCAACUAAGUCAGACGUGAAAUCCCCAGGCUCAACUUGGGAACUGCGUCUGAUACUGGAUGGCUUGAAUUCGGGAGAGGGAUGCAGAAUUCCAGGUGUAGCGGUGAAAUGCGUAGAUAUCUGGAGGAAUACCGGUGGCGAAGGCGGCAUCCUGGACCGACAUUGACGCUGAGGAGCGAAAGCUAGGGGAGCAAACGGG